CAGAGAGUGAGUGAAAAUGCUUUCGAUCUCUACCUCUAAUCUCAACCACCGCCUCGUAAAACUCUAAUUUUCUAUAGUUUAUUGAAUUUAAACUAGUUUAUGUCAAUCAUUGCUUGUGUUCUGUGCUCUAACUAGCUGCUAACCAUCGACUACGUUCUUUAUUAUCAUUUCAUUUAAACCUUUACAAACCUUUUGCUCCAUUUUGAGCUUGAGCUUGGUUAUUUGUGUAGUAAUUUUGAUAGGCAUAUAUGGUAAGAAAAGUUUGUUAUGGGAUUAGUUUAGUAAUGUUUAUAUUGUUGCUUUUGUGCCUGUAUUGUUUGUUUAAUGACAUAUGCUCUCAUCUUGUGCAAAUUGAAGCUUAGUUUCGAACUCAGCGACGGCGUAUCUCUGUUUCUGAAUAAUGGAUUGGAAUAUGAGGAAAUUGUACAUGGUCGGGGUGUAUGAUAUGUAAUAUAUAUUUUCAAUUGUUGUUGUUCUUAAUUAUGCAGGUCCGAAGACAGAAUUUGCUAUUCCAACUAUGGUUGAAUCUG
rnacentral:misc_RNA from 1 species